AAAAAAAGAAAGUAUUGGGGAAGACUGUAGUUAUAUGCUGGAAUUGUUUAGCUACUUUUUCUUAUCAAUAUUUUUUGUUCUUUUUCUUCUUGUUUUUUAAUACUUUCCAUAUGUUGGUGAUUUUCAAAAAAUCCAUCCUACUUCUUUUAACUCUGUGUCCAUGCAUUCUGACUACUUUUAAACACAAAAUAAAAAAAGU
rnacentral:ribozyme from 1 species